CCAAUUUUGGCCAUCACUGUUGUAGAUAGACAUAACAGAGCAAGGGCAUGUAGUUUUGUGUGCUUAGUUAAGGAUUCACUGGCACUGGUCUGCUGAGUAUCCAGCUCAGCAGAGAGGCAGCAGCAGCAACUACAGUGGGUAGUCUUCAGUAGUUCAGGAGCAAUUUUAACAUCAUCUAUAGCUGUCAGUUCACUGCCAACAGGCCAACCUAAUGGAUCAGCUGGUUGUUGUUGUUUUGUGCAAAGGGACAGUUAGUCAGUUAUUACUUGGAGCUGAUCCAUACCCUUGUAUUUACAAGUGUAUGGUGUAUGGUGUUAGGUGGCAAGGUUGAGCCUCCCUUGGAUGCACAUAGUAUUUGCAUCUGAGAUGAGAAGUGGGGUGUGAUCCUAAUUGAUUAUGCCCACUGUAUUUUUGUGUUAGCCUCAUUAGUAAAUGAAGAAUGACGCCAUGUUUGGGGGGCAUGGGGUGGAAGGGGUUCAAUGCGCCAAUGCUGGUGGUAAGAAAGAAGAAUUGGGAAAGCAAGAGGUGAGGUACAUCAACACCUUUGCUCCUGCUCCCGUGCCUCCUCUGACCAGGAUUUAGUGAAGCCUGUUAACCUUCCUCCAAACUAGUGGUAAAUAUCUUUUAAUACCUGUCAACCUUUACCUGUCAUAGCUUAUUAAACCUAACCAAAGGAGAUUGACUGGCUAGCUCAGAGAGUGAUUAAUGCCUCUUUGUGGGAGGGAGAGGUGCUGUGAGCCCUUAAAGAAAUGAGCUAUCUUCCUAACUCAUGAUUUGGAGUUGCCUCCCCCCCCCCCAAAAAAAAAUAACAACCACAGUUGAGAUCUUCCUUUCCCAACCUGGUGGCCUCCAGAUAUUUUGAACAUUGUCCAUGCUGGAUGGACCUGAUGGGCAGAACAGUUUGGAGAAGACUGGCUUAGAUGAACCACAGUUCGUCCAGCAAGCUGUUCUUAAGGAAUCAUGGGGACAAAAGCUUCUGUUCUCCUCUGCUUGCCAGUGUUGGAAGGAGAGACAGAAGCAGAAGCGUAGGAGCCCAACUUGAGGGGGGGCAGGUGGUCUUCUUCCUGUAAUGCUAAACUAUGGUUUAACAUGAUAUCUGAACCAGCCCUGUGACUUCAGGCAAAUCACCGUUCUCCACCCCCACAAACCUCCCUCCCUCCCUUGUUAGGAGAAUGAUUCUCCGCUGCUUCAAAAUCCUUGCAGGAAGACCUAAGAAACAAUGUGAUAAACAAAACUGGGCGUGAUAACCUAGAAAUUUAAUUGGAAUGGCUUUCCUGUGGUUAGGGUAUCAUGGCACAGUCUCAAGGAAAAACUAUAAAUUUUGGCACUUUUACACGCCUUAGGUUUCCAAACUCUCUUUUAUGUUUCAUUGAAAAUGACAACACUAAAUUACACCGUCUGAACAGAUCUCCUUCUCUCCAUGUAGCUGUGACAAGAGCUUGCCCCUCAUUUCCAUGCCACGUGCUGUGCCUUGAGACAUACUCAAAGCUCCACUCACCUCUCCAAUUACAUUUUCCCCACACCAUCCCAAAAAGUCAAAUGUGCUUAUCAAUGGCGAAGUGUUCCCAUUGACAUGCAGUUCACCAUAAUUCCUCCUACUUAAUGCACAUCACCUAUUAGAGAGGGACAUUUGGGGCAAUGCACUCUUCUGUAUUGAUGUGUGAGUUAUUGCUGCUCUUUAGCAAUUUACAAACUAUUAUCACAAGCCUCUAGCAGCCCACUGCUUAUACUAUGCAUUUGGAAGUAGAGGCCUUGGUUGCUUAUUUUAAAUCACUAUAUGCAUUCCUUUUACCAAACCUCUUCAAACCAAUAGAACACAUAUCCCACACAUACCCAGAGUCUCACAACAUCCAAAUGGUUUUUCAGGAUUAGACAAGUGACCCAUCUCCUUCCUCAGUUUAGAAUGUCUGUGAACGUUCUUUGACAUCACACCCAGCAGGGCAGCAUGAACCAGCAGUCACCUCUCCGUAACAUUUACCCCUAAUUGAUUAUUUCACCUGAAUUUACACUAAGGCUGUUGAGAACAAGUUCUGAAUUUCCCCAUGUUAAUAAUACAGCAGUGAAGCUUCUGGCCCAACAGGAGCCAAGAAUUUUUUCCUCCUGAUAUGACUGACUCUUUCUAGACAGAACUAAACUCUUCAUACUUGAAGAGUGAAGAUCAAUAUCAGACAUAAUUGGUACAAUCAUCGCUGCUAGACCCAGAAGGGUAAUGAAUGCACACCAUUAAAAGCCUGCUUUUGUCUAACUAAAUGCAGCAUCUCAUCUGUGGGGCUCUUUGAAGACCUGAUAUUUCUGCAGUUUCUUUUUAAACCCUAGUUAGAAACUGUACCUUGCUGAUUGAUAUGCAGGGAUCCAUUUAGAGCACACAGAACUGCUUAAAAAAACGAGUGCCUGAUUUCCCAGUCACGUGACAAUAGUGGAAUUGAAUUGGGACCAGCCAAUCGGAAGCUACCCAGCUUCUGCCUUCCCCUUUAUUUCCAGUACAACAAGCUUUAGGACUUCCUCCCAAAGCACUUGUUUAAUUACAGCUUCAGGAACAUAAAGCCUGUUAUUAUUUUAAUGGAAGGAGCUGGGAGUGAAAUAAAACUGAGCUGGGCCCACGUCUUUUCCUGGCAACUUGUAAUUUGGCGGACGCGGGGGGAGGCGGAGAAUGGAGGAGAGAUUGGGAGGGGGAACACCUGUUCAGUGGGGGAUCUUUAUCUUUUUCUUUUUCUUUUUAUCCCUCCAUUAAUUUAUUUUACAGUCUUCAAACAGAUAUCCAGAUGGGAAGUAGUGGCACUCAGGGCUUCUCUCUCCUCAGGAAGUAGAGUCAAUAUAUAGGUCUUUUAUGGCAGAGAAAUGCAAAUGUAGUUUCUCUACCCUCCUGGUAAACCAUAAAGUGUGUCCAUUCCAAACCCCAAACGUCAGCAUCUGAAAUGAGCCACAUAUGGCUGCUGGGGGAAUAUCUGGUCUGAGCAUCCACGAAGAAACGUCUGCAAUUCUCUCUCCUUCCAGAGCUCUUCUUAUCCUCGCUCAGCCCCCUAAAGCUAUCUUCCAGAUACAGCAUUACUCUGUCUCCUAGGGAGAAGCCUCAGAGCCAACACUUCCCAUCUGGAUAUCACUUUUUCUAAUCAUUUUGGCAGCGGUAUUCACUUCCUGUGCUCGGCAUAGAAUUCGGAACUGCCUAUACCGCCUAGAUUUUUCUUUAUUUCCAUGCAAGGGCAAACAACCAAGCACCGUACGUCUGUCAUUUAUUUAGUACAGUUACUCCACCUUUCAUUGAGACCUUACGCCUCCUUGUUCCUACAGAUGCACAACCUGAGGCAUCUUUCUAGGCUACAUGACAGCAGCAGGACUGCCAAUAUUUUUUUUUGCUGGAUGCUGGUUUAAAGCUGCUAGUGAGACCAUGGUGGAACUUGUUGCCUCUACACCAACUCUGAUUGUGUAUAGCAGAUUUCAGAUGCAUCGGAAGUGGAGCCAUUGACAGAAAUGCAAAACCCAGGAAAGUUUAGCAGCACCCUGAUGGGGUACAGAAAAUACACCAAUCAAUGCUGCAGUCCUAUUCCCUAUGGCAUAGAUAGCCAGUGUGGUGCCCUCCAGAUGUUGCUGGACUACAACUCCCAUCAUCCCUGAUCAUUGGCUAUGCUGGCAGGGGCUGAUGGGGGUUGGAGUCCAGAAAACAUCUGGAGGGCACCACGUUGGCUAUCUGCACUAAGGAGUAAAUAUUCUUGAUCACAACGGGGCUUACUGUACACAUGUUCUGGCUGGAUAUUUCCCUCUACCAUUGAUAUAGCCAUGCCAUGAGUCACUUCACCUGUUUAAUUUCUGCAGGCCAGGCUGCUGUUAAAAGUACAGGAGUGGGGCCAGUUGAAAAAGUGAGGGGAAAGAUCACAUCCAUGCACCAUACCUUUCUUUUCUUUUUUUUAAAUGAUAUUUAUUGAAAAAAAAUUAGAAUUACUAAAAAAAAAGACAAAACAGAAAAAAGAAGAAAAAUAAUAAUAAAUAAAUCCAUCAUUCUCAAAUUCUCAACUUUCAUUACCUUCUUUCUUUGACCUCCUCCUCCUCCCUUUUCUUGUAUCCCAAUU